CACGCCGCGUGAGUGAUGAAGGUUUUCGGAUCGUCAAGCUCUGUUGUCAGGGAAGAACAAGUACCGUUCGAAUCGGGCGGUACCUUGACGGUACCUCACCAGAAAGCCACGGCUACCUACGUGCCAGCAGCCGCGGAAAUACGAAGGUGGCAAGCGUUGUCCGGAAUUAUUGGGCGAAAAGGGCUCGCAGGCGGUUCCUUCAGUCUGAUGUGAAAGCCCCCGGCUCAACCGGGGAGGGUCAUUGGAAACUGGGGAACUUGAGUGCAGAAGAGGAGAGUGGAAUUCCACGUGUCGCGGUGAAAUGCGAAGAGAUGUGGAGGAACACCAGUGGCGAAGGCGACUCUCUGGUCUGCAACUGACGCUGAGGAGCGAAAGCGUGGGGAGCGAACAGGAUAAGAUACCCUGGCAGUCCACGCCGUAAACGAUGAGUGCUCAGUGUCAGGGGGUUUCCGCCCCUUCGUGCUGCAGCAAACGCAUCAAGCACUC
rnacentral:rRNA from 1 species